GGGUUGUGAGGUUAAGCGACUAAGCGUACACGGUGGAUGCCCUGGCAGUCAGAGGCGAUGAAGGACGUGCUAAUCUGCGAUAAGCGUCGGUAAGGUGAUAUGAACCGUUAUAACCGGCGAUUUCCGAAUGGGGAAACCCAGUGUGUUUCGACACACUAUCAUUAACUGAAUCCAUAGGUUAAUGAGGCGAACCGGGGGAACUGAAACAUCUAAGUACCCCGAGGAAAAGAAAUCAACCGAGAUUCCCCCAGUAGCGGCGAGCGAACGGGGAGCAGCCCAGAGCCUGAAUCAGUGUGUGUGUUAGUGGAAGCGUCUGGAAAGGCGCGCGAUACAGGGUGACAGCCCCGUACACAAAAAUGCACAUGCUGUGAGCUCGAUGAGUAGGGCGGGACACGUGGUAUCCUGUCUGAAUAUGGGGGGACCAUCCUCCAAGGCUAAAUACUCCUGACUGACCGAUAGUGAACCAGUACCGUGAGGGAAAGGCGAAAAGAACCCCGGCGAGGGGAGUGAAAAAGAACCUGAAACCGUGUACGUACAAGCAGUGGGAGCACGCUUAGGCGUGUGACUGCGUACCUUUUGUAUAAUGGGUCAGCGACUUAUAUUCUGUAGCAAGGUUAACCGAAUAGGGGAGCCGAAGGGAAACCGAGUCUUAACUGGGCGUUAAGUUGCAGGGUAUAGACCCGAAACCCGGUGAUCUAGCCAUGGGCAGGUUGAAGGUUGGGUAACACUAACUGGAGGACCGAACCGACUAAUGUUGAAAAAUUAGCGGAUGACUUGUGGCUGGGGGUGAAAGGCCAAUCAAACCGGGAGAUAGCUGGUUCUCCCCGAAAGCUAUUUAGGUAGCGCCUCGUGAAUUCAUCUCCGGGGGUAGAGCACUGUUUCGGCAAGGGGGUCAUCCCGACUUACCAACCCGAUGCAAACUGCGAAUACCGGAGAAUGUUAUCACGGGAGACACACGGCGGGUGCUAACGUCCGUCGUGAAGAGGGAAACAACCCAGACCGCCAGCUAAGGUCCCAAAGUCAUGGUUAAGUGGGAAACGAUGUGGGAAGGCCCAGACAGCCAGGAUGUUGGCUUAGAAGCAGCCAUCAUUUAAAGAAAGCGUAAUAGCUCACUGGUCGAGUCGGCCUGCGCGGAAGAUGUAACGGGGCUAAACCAUGCACCGAAGCUGCGGCAGCGACGCUUAUGCGUUGUUGGGUAGGGGAGCGUUCUGUAAGCCUGCGAAGGUGUGCUGUGAGGCAUGCUGGAGGUAUCAGAAGUGCGAAUGCUGACAUAAGUAACGAUAAAGCGGGUGAAAAGCCCGCUCGCCGGAAGACCAAGGGUUCCUGUCCAACGUUAAUCGGGGCAGGGUGAGUCGACCCCUAAGGCGAGGCCGAAAGGCGUAGUCGAUGGGAAACAGGUUAAUAUUCCUGUACUUGGUGUUACUGCGAAGGGGGGACGGAGAAGGCUAUGUUGGCCGGGCGACGGUUGUCCCGGUUUAAGCGUGUAGGCUGGUUUUCCAGGCAAAUCCGGAAAAUCAAGGCUGAGGCGUGAUGACGAGGCACUACGGUGCUGAAGCAACAAAUGCCCUGCUUCCAGGAAAAGCCUCUAAGCAUCAGGUAACAUCAAAUCGUACCCCAAACCGACACAGGUGGUCAGGUAGAGAAUACCAAGGCGCUUGAGAGAACUCGGGUGAAGGAACUAGGCAAAAUGGUGCCGUAACUUCGGGAGAAGGCACGCUGAUAUGUAGGUGAAGUCCCUCGCGGAUGGAGCUGAAAUCAGUCGAAGAUACCAGCUGGCUGCAACUGUUUAUUAAAAACACAGCACUGUGCAAACACGAAAGUGGACGUAUACGGUGUGACGCCUGCCCGGUGCCGGAAGGUUAAUUGAUGGGGUUAGCGCAAGCGAAGCUCUUGAUCGAAGCCCCGGUAAACGGCGGCCGUAACUAUAACGGUCCUAAGGUAGCGAAAUUCCUUGUCGGGUAAGUUCCGACCUGCACGAAUGGCGUAAUGAUGGCCAGGCUGUCUCCACCCGAGACUCAGUGAAAUUGAACUCGCUGUGAAGAUGCAGUGUACCCGCGGCAAGACGGAAAGACCCCGUGAACCUUUACUAUAGCUUGACACUGAACAUUGAGCCUUGAUGUGUAGGAUAGGUGGGAGGCUUUGAAGUGUGGACGCCAGUCUGCAUGGAGCCGACCUUGAAAUACCACCCUUUAAUGUUUGAUGUUCUAACGUUGACCCGUGAUCCGGGUUGCGGACAGUGUCUGGUGGGUAGUUUGACUGGGGCGGUCUCCUCCUAAAGAGUAACGGAGGAGCACGAAGGUUGGCUAAUCCUGGUCGGACAUCAGGAGGUUAGUGCAAUGGCAUAAGCCAGCUUGACUGCGAGCGUGACGGCGCGAGCAGGUGCGAAAGCAGGUCAUAGUGAUCCGGUGGUUCUGAAUGGAAGGGCCAUCGCUCAACGGAUAAAAGGUACUCCGGGGAUAACAGGCUGAUACCGCCCAAGAGUUCAUAUCGACGGCGGUGUUUGGCACCUCGAUGUCGGCUCAUCACAUCCUGGGGCUGAAGUAGGUCCCAAGGGUAUGGCUGUUCGCCAUUUAAAGUGGUACGCGAGCUGGGUUUAGAACGUCGUGAGACAGUUCGGUCCCUAUCUGCCGUGGGCGCUGGAGAACUGAGGGGGGCUGCUCCUAGUACGAGAGGACCGGAGUGGACGCAUCACUGGUGUUCGGGUUGUCAUGCCAAUGGCACUGCCCGGUAGCUAAAUGCGGAAGAGAUAAGUGCUGAAAGCAUCUAAGCACGAAACUUGCCCCGAGAUGAGUUCUCCCUGACUCCUUGAGAGUCCUGAAGGAACGUUGAAGACGACGACGUUGAUAGGCCGGGUGUGUAAGCGCAGCGAUGCGUUGAGCUAACCGGUACUAAUGAACCGUGAGACUUAACCUUACAACGCCGAAGGUGUUU
rnacentral:rRNA from 1 species